rnacentral:lncRNA from 1 species
CCCUGUAGACAUGCUGAUAAGAAACAACCAAGUUAUCUGCAAGCUCUAAAAUUUGUAACCACAAACUGCAGAGAAUCCAAGGGACUUUCUGUUCUUUGGUGCACCAUCUAAUGAUAUUCAAAGAAUCCCCUUCCACAAUACAACUCACCCCCAGCUGUCUAAGUUUAAGUAGACACAAACCUAGAAGAAGAGUGUCAAUUUCAACUUGAUUCGCCGUACCAACACCAAUGGGACCAGCAUAACUAAAUAUAGACUGCCCAUACCGAUCCCUCACUUCCCCCCCAAUACCUGCCGGUCUUGGAUUUCCUAAUGAACUCCCAUCAAAAUUUAACUUGAAGCACCCAAACUUGGGACAAUUUUAUACACUUCUCGAUCUCGAUGACAUGAAAUUCAGCUGAAACAAGUUAGUCAAAUUGAUCAUGAUAUCCACUUUUGAAAUCCCCUUGCCUACCGUGGUGACUCCCAGCCAACACCACACCGAAUGUUUAAUCUUCUGUAAAACCUGAUCACAAGGAAGAGCAAUCCCAUCAAAUGUUCUUUUAUUCUUUUCCUUCCAUACCUCCACAAGACAACUACCCUAACUAUUUGCCAAAU